AACGAACGCUGGCGGCAUGCCUAACACAUGCAAGUCGAACGAGACCUUCGGGUCUAGUGGCGCACGGGUGCGUAACGCGUGGGAACCUGCCCUUAGGUUCGGAAUAACUCCCCGAAAGGGGUGCUAAUACCGGCUAAUGUCUUCGGACCAAAGAUUUAUCGCCUUUGGAUGGGCCCGCGUUGGAUUAGCUAGUUGGUAGGGUAAAAGCCUACCAAGGCGACGAUCCAUAGCUGGUCUGAGAGGAUGAUCAGCCACACUGGGACUGAGACACAGCCCAGACUCCUACGGGAGGCAGCAGUGGGGGAUAUUGGCCAAUGGGCGAAAGCCUGAUCCAGCAAUGCCGCGUGAGUGAUGAAGGCCUUAGGGUUGUAAAGCUCUUUUACCCGGGAUGAUAAUGACAGUACCGGGAGAAUAAGCUCCGGCUAACUCCGUG
rnacentral:rRNA from 1 species